ensembl:lncRNA
GCUUUUUUUCAUUUAUUUUUCCUGUUUUUUGGUUACUUUUAUCCUUUUUUGUUUUGUUUUUCAUUUUCAUGUUUUAACUUUUGUUUUUGAUCUUUACUGUUGUUGUUUUUUGUCUUGUUUUAUUUAUUUUUUAUCUGAUUACUCUCAUAUAAACUGAGUUUAACUGGCCAACACUGACCCAAAUCUCCCCUUCAACCUUUACCACUUCUCUCUCUCCCUCUUUUCCCCUCUACUUUUUCUCUCUGCUCUUGGACGACGUACAAAGUAGAGUGCAAUCCUACCCUAUCCCUCUGUACUUUUUGUUGCAGGAUUCAGUUUCACAUUGGUAUAUUUUUUUAAGAGUAGGCUCAGAGGUCUAAUUGUGACUGGUUAGAGUAAGGACUGGAUUUCUCUCUGGGGUUUGUAUGUGGCGGUGUCUCAUUCCAGUGUCAGAUUUAAACACACACACACAUUCCUGUGUCAGAUUUAUUUUGUCAGUGCUGCAACGGCUGGCUGACCCUCCGUCUGGAUGGAGGUGUUACAGAGAGCAGAUUGAUAAAAAGGGCAAAAUGUCAGAGAAGCAUAAACACACACACACCCAGUAUACACGCUCAGUCCAUGUGUUUGGUGUGUGUAUGUGCAUUUAUAGGAGAAACAGUGAAUCUCAGUGUUGAUCUGAGAAUCUUGAUCCUGUGUGUGUGGCGCAACCAAACGUACAUUACAUGUCUGGAUUGGUCGCAAGGAGCCAGCAACAGCAUCAUAUGUCGCUCUCAUUAUUGACUCAAAUUUCCUAGCUUUUUUCCUCUCUCUCCUCCUCCUCCUCUUUUAUUCUCAGACCUUUUACUUCUACCCUCUUAUUUAUUUUCACUUAAAGUAAUUAUUUACUAUUUUUAAAUAAGAACAUAAGUCACACCGUGAGAAAUAAAGUCACAAUUAUAGGAAAUAUAGUUGCAAUUAUAAGAAAUAUUCGGAACUGCAAGAAAUAUUCACACACUGUGAGAUACGAAGUCUCAACGCAAGACAAAGUUGCAAUUAUGAAAUAAAAUGUUUCAAUUGCAAGAAAAAAGUCUGCUUUGUAAGAUAUACAGUAGCAAUUUGGCAAAAUCAAAGCAGAAAUAGUGAAAUAUAGUCAGUAAAAAAAUUAAAUCUACAACUAGUAAACACAUUUUUUUUACUCUGAUAUCCAGAUGUUCUGUUAAAUUUGUCACUCUGACCUAUACAAUUUUAUUCCCAUUUUCAAACUUACUUCCCCUAUAACAGUGUACUCUUAAAAGAAGCAGUUACAGCUUGUUUAUGUUGAUUAAAUAGGGUGUUUGAAGGACAAUUUAAGGUCAUGUCAUACUGAAAUCACUUCCUAUAGCUGCACACACCACCCAAACACCCAUUACUGCUUGUCUAACAGACAUGAAAUAUGAUUUUUUUCACUUCCCUGUGUAUGUAUGUGUGUGUUUGCUUGUGUGACCUUGCUGUUGUAACCGGAGCAGCACAGACUGGGCUGAGACAGAUAUAGCCCUGAAACACAACACUGUUGUAGUGUCUGCGGUCCCACGCAGACAAGACAAUGACACCAGCAAAAACGUACGUGUGUGUGUGUGUGUGGGACAUAGCAGAUGAAGCUGUCCUUGACAACAACAGAGAGACACUGUGUAUGUAUGUGUACAUUGUAUGGGAGAGAUAGUCAUGCACUUAUGGUAAACACUGUAAAGCUGUGUGUCAACUAUUAUAAAUGGCCACAAAACAAUAUAAUUUCUCUCAUAAAGUUACAGUAAUAUUUUCAAAAUUGUUAUAACUCCUAUUUGAUUUGCUGUCCAGUGCUUUCUAAAUGACAUGAUGGUGAUCCAGAGUUUCCAGAGUGCAAAAUAUCCAGUGUCUAUUAUGGGGUUGCCAGAUCUUCCUAAAAAAGAAAACAAUUUGCCCAAAAACAAGGCUGAAAUAAGUGAUUUCUCUCACCAAAAUACACCACCGUUCAAAAGUCUGGGGUCAGCAAGACACAGCAAGAAAAUCAUAUAUUUUAUAUUAUAUAUUUUAUUCCUGUGAAAAUACCAUGAAUUGGCAAAGCUGAAUUUUCAGCAACUAUUACUCCAGUCUUCAGGUGUCACACGAUCCUUCAGAAAUCAUUCUAAUAUUUUUAUUUGGUGCUCAAGAGUGAUUUCUUAUUGUAAGUGUUGGAAACAGUUGUGCUGCUAAUAUUUUUGUGGAUUCUUUGAUAAAUGGAAAGUCAAAAGAAAAGAAUUAGUACUGUUACAUGAUCAAUUUAAUGCAUCCUUGUUGAGUAGAAUUUAAUUAAAAAAAAAAAAUCUUACUGGCCUUAAACUUUUGAAAGGUAGUAUAAGUCUAAAAAUAAGCAAUUUUUAUAUGAAAAACAAGAACAUGAGAGUUAAAUGUGGAGUCAUGUGCUAACAAUUGGGGAUAUUUAACAUCUGCUAGUGGUCGGGUCACACGUUCAUGCCAUUGGGGGAAAAUAAAUACAAUACUUAAUUUUGGAAAUAAUCCCAAAACAAUGCGACCCUUACAAGCAACUUCAUAAAAAAGGAACAAAGUUGCUUACAAUAAAAGGACAUGGCAACAUUAGUCCAUUAGAGGGAAGUGAAGUGUGUUCUGUCAACAGGCUCAGAGAAGCACAGAUGAGAGAUGCAAGGAGUUAAAAUGAAUUGAAAUAACAAACCCUAGAACUUGUGUGCAAUACUGUAAUCCAAGAGCGUUUCAAAGGAUCUACUAGAGAGGCGCCUGUUUUAGUAGCCAAACUGUCUUUCAGCCCCGAGGCUGGGUACAGAGAGAGCGCUUGGCUUUUUCAUUCACCAAAAUUAGUCAUUCUGAAUGUUUGGAGGGCUUCUGUUUAAUCAGACAGGGGGAACAUGAGCACUGCUGUGGCCAAAGUUCAGCCACACGCACAGAAACAAGAUGGAGAUGCAGAAACCCGUACAGCCCAACUCAAAUACCAGCAAAACCAAUCAAUCAGUGCAUCCCUCAUCGAGCAGUGUUAUACAACUCAAACUAAACAACAAUCACAGAAACUUCAGCUCUACUGUAAUGAUGUAAAAUCAAGAGAACUGGAAAAGCGAGAGGCAGCUUAGAUGUGAGUUUUCAACAUCUAGAGUAUGUGACAAAGGGGUCAGUAAUAUCACGACACUCCUGUAGCCAUGUAAGAAAUGUUGUUUUUUUUUCUCCCAUCAUUCCUGUGGGCGGAAUUAAGAGGAUGGCUUUGUCAACAGCUGGAAUUAUGCAACAACAAAUUCUUAUUUCUGCACUCUGUGUGAGAGACACUACGUCUGUGUAAAAUAACAAGAGCAAACUGCAGUUUUUAAGGAUCUAAUGUUAAAAGUUUUUUGAGGCGAACAUUUGAGCUGCCUUAAUUCUUUGUGCUCUGUAAUUAACAAUGCCUGCUUGUUUUAAAAAAAGCAAAACCCACUUUGUAAAACACACACACACACAAAUAAUAAAAUCAACUUUGUUAUCUGGCUAGUAUGGAUGUAUAGAUGCUUUGUCUGUCCUGUAUGAAUCCGAGAUUUUGCUAAAUUUGCCCACCCUCACCUGUCCCACCCCUUUCACCCGAAACCUUGUACAUUUACCCUUGUUGUUGUUUAUCAAUCUUUUUUGUGUACUUGCAGAACAUUUUAUAGUAUUAUUUAUUACUGGCAAGCCUUUGCAUUAAUAAAGAGCAAGAGAGAUGGUUCUUUGAACAGGGUAGCAAGAGGCAGCAAAGCUGCUCAAUGAAAAGUAUGGCCAUUUUUUUCUUUUCUUUUUUUUCUAAAUUAAAGAAGGAAACGGCAAGAGUAAAAAAAAAAAAAGAUAAACUUGUCUUUUGAUUAUGAAGUUGUUAUAAAACUUGUUGCUUUAAAAUGUAUCAUUUUUGUGUUGUAACAGUAUUUGUUUAACCCAGUGAAUUGCUUAUUAAAAACAAAUAAAUAGAGGC